rnacentral:lncRNA from 1 species
UUUUAUACUCAUACUAUUUCCAUCCAUUGUUUAAAUUAUGGGAUUAUCAGGUUGUUACUAUGAAAGUGAUUUGGAUAAGCUGGGGUUCCUUUUUCUGCAUAGCAGAGUCCGAGUUUGAGGAAAUGUUCAUUCUCUAUGUACUCUUCUAAUAAAUAUGCUCAUGGAAAUUGACGGGUUUCAACAAAUGAGGGGAUAAUUCUAAUGGCUGCAACAAAUUUUCCUGAUAUUUUCGAUCCAGCUUUAAUAAGACCUCGUAGAUUUAAUAGUUGUUAAAUAUAUAUUUGGAUCACAAGUAUGAUGUUAGACUGUUAGUUCACCAGUAUGAUUUGGGGUAAAUAUAUAUUUGGAUCAGAAUUCUGUUUAAUUUGGCGAUGCUCGGUCUGGGAUAUGGUAGAGUUUUUCUUAUAGUAGUGGGAACUCCAAGAAUGGCAAGAAAGCUAUUCAUUUGGUGGCACUAGCGACUUUAUGGACGGUGUGGUUGGUAAGGAAGGAGCUGGUGUUCAAUAGAAGAGGGCUGAUCUGGAUUAGUUAACAUAGGUGAAUGAUGUGCGAAUGAUCCAACAAGUUGAUUUUAACGUAGGCAUAAGUGGGAGAGAGGACCUACAGGCAGCGAGGGUGCUGAUUAUAGGAUGUCGGGAGAUGGAAUGACGAAGAGGAUGUCGGGUUUUGGGUGCAGAACAGGUUGGAUGCAUAUAGAAUUACCAGAAUGGGAGGGUCUUCAAUGGAUCAAACAAAUCGUUUUACAACCUGGUGGAAGAAAUAAAGGAGGUCGCGUAUGCUUGGGUGUAGAACAGGUCAGAUGCGUAUGGUGUAGCCUGGGAGAACUCGAGGCGUUUUGAUUUAUCAUUCUAAUUUAGUUCUUUGUACAGAAAAUAUGGUGUGUCCCAGGUUAUGUGGUUUAUUUUCAUCAAGACAUUGUUGUUGAAUUGAAUGAGAUGGUUGAUGUAAUGUGGUCGUAUUAAUAACAAAUAGUAAUUAAUAUAACUAAGUUUCCUGAGCCUGGGAAGCAAUCCCG